CCAGAGAUUGCCUGGGUAGGCCGCACCGAGCAGCAG
rnacentral:sRNA from 1 species